CACGUAGGGGGCGAGCGUUGUCCGGAUUUACUGGGCGUAAAGAGCGCGCAGGCGGUCGUACAAGUCGCGUGAAAGCCCCCGGCUCAACUGGGGAGGGUCACGCGAUACUGUUCGACUCGAAGGCAGGAGAGGGAAGUGGAAUUCCCGGUGUAGUGGUGAAAUGCGUAGAUAUCGGGAGGAACACCAGUGGCGAAGGCGACUUCCUGGCCUGUUCUUGACGCUGAGGCGCGAAAGCUAGGGUAGCAAACGGG
rnacentral:rRNA from 1 species